rnacentral:rRNA from 1 species
UCCUACGGGAGGCAGCAGUGGGGAAUAUUGGACAAUGGGCGCAAGCCUGAUCCAGCCAUGCCGCGUGAGUGAUGAAGGCCUUAGGGUUGUAAAGCUCUUUUAUCCGGGACGAUAAUGACGGUACCGGAGGAAUAAGCCCCGGCUAACUUCGUGCCAGCAGCCGCGGAAU